CAGAUUUAGCAAAUAAAAUUUGAAUUUCAGGUAAAGGAGUCAUUUUUAAUAGAGUAUGUCUAUGCAAUAUUUGAGAUAUACUUAUGCUAAAAAUUAUUUAUUGUUUAUCUGAAAUUCGAGUUUAAUUGGACAUCCUGUAUUUU
rnacentral:miRNA from 1 species